CCAAAAAAACAUGGAGUAACCCUGGAGUUUAGUUGUAGUCCCACAGAAGCAACUGCACAUUCAACUUGAAUGAGUACUUCAGGACCGCGUCGCACGCGCAGCUGUGAGUGCUACGUAGGGGGCGAGCGACUCUGAAUAUCCGGCUCCGUAGGAUGGAAACUUGGACCGUAUGGGACGGACAUACAAUGUGACUACAUGGCUAAAAUUGAUGGACUCGGACAGCUGACCCGCGUGCAAUUAAAAAAUAUCAGCAACGUUGAGGGGGAGAUAGACGAAGUAGAGACACUAUGGAGACUGACAUGGUCUAUCCUCACUGGUGUGACGGCGUUUAUGACGAUUCACGCUCUGGUAGGCAACUUUCUCGUUAUGUGCUUGUACGUUUGCAUCGGGAGGAAAAACACAGUCCACACUUACCAGGUGUUCCAGCUCGCCCUCUGUGAUUUUG